rnacentral:misc_RNA from 1 species
AAGUCGUAACAAGGUUUCCGUAGGUGAACCUGCGGAAGGAUCAUUAUUGAAUAAACCUGGCAUUUGGUUCUGCAGCUGGCUCUUCUUGGGCAUGUGCUCGCCAUUGUCAUCUUUAUCUCUCCACCUUGUGCACCUCUUGUAGACCUGGACGGAUAAAACUUUUUACUUUCUUCUCAGAGGGCAACCUCUGGUCUUGAGGAUGUGCAUCUCCUUUGUUGGGGUGCUCUCCUUGUUUAAAAGAAAAAAAAAGUUGUCCAGGCCUAUGUCUACACACACACCCAUUGAAUGUAACAGAAUGUAUCUAUGGGCCUUUGUGCCUAUAAAAACUUAUACAACUUUCAGCAACGGAUCUCUUGGCUCUC